rnacentral:tRNA from 1 species
AAGAAAAACAUGGACGUUAACUAAGGCUUCUAACCUACGUUAGAGAGGUUCAAUUCCUAUCUUUUCUUU